GACCUUAUAUUCAAUUGAAUGAUAUUAAAAUGCAAUUUUAAAGUAAUAGAUUAAAUCUAU
rnacentral:tRNA from 1 species